rnacentral:rRNA from 1 species
UACAGAGGUCUCAAGCGUUGUUCGGAUUCAUUGGGCGUAAAGGGUGCGUAGGCGGCGCGGUAAGUCGGGUGUGAAAUCUCGGAGCUUAACUCCGAAACUGCAUUCGAUACUGCCGUGCUUGAGGACUGGAGAGGAGACUGGAAUUUACGGUGUAGCGGUGAAAUGCGUAGAUAUCGUUUGGAACGCCAAUGGUGAAAACAGGUCGCUGGGAGUGUGCUGACGCUGAGACACGAAAGCCAGGGGAGCGAACGGG